UGGGGAAUAUUGGACAAUGGGGGAAACCCUGAUCCAGCAACGCCGCGUGGAGGAUGAAGGUCUUCGGAUUGUAAACUCCUGUUAGGGGGGACGAAGGGAUGCCGGCGAACAGUCGGCAAACUUGACGGUACCCCCAGAGGAAGCCCCGGCUAACUCUGUGCCAGCAGCCGCGGUAAUACAGAGGGGGCAAGCGUUAUUCGGAAUUAUUGGGCGUAAAGGGCGCGUAGGCGGCCUUGUAAGUCUUGGGUGAAAUCCCUCAGCUCAACUGAGGAACUGCCUCGGAUACUGCAGGGCUUGAGGCCGGGAGAGGGUAGUGGAAUUCCCAGUGUAGCGGUGAAAUGCGUAGAUAUUGGGAGGAACACCGGUGGCGAAGGCGGCUACCUGGACCGGUUCUGACGCUGAUGCGCGAAAGCGUGGGGAGCAAACAGG
rnacentral:rRNA from 1 species